rnacentral:rRNA from 1 species
CCUACGGGAGACAGCAGUGAGGAAUAUUGGUCAAUGGGCGUAAGCCUGAACCAGCCAAGUCGCGUGAGGGAUGAAGGUUCUAUGGAUCGUAAACCUCUUUUAUAAGGGAAUAAAGUGCGGGACGUGUCCCGCUUUGUAUGUACCUUAUGAAUAAGGAUCGGCUAACUCCGUGCCAGCAGCCGCGGUAAUACGGAGGAUCCGAGCGUUAUCCGGAUUUAUUGGGUUUAAAGGGUGCGUAGGCGGCCUGUUAAGUCAGCGGUGAAAGUCUGUGGCUCAACCAUAGAAUUGCCGUUGAAACUGGGAGUCUUGAGUAUGUGAGAGGCAGGCGGAAUGCGUGGUGUAGCGGUGAAAUGCUUAGAUAUCACGCAGAACCCCGAUUGCGAAGGCAGCCUGCCGGGCCAUGACUGACGCUGAUGCACGAAAGCGUGGGGAUCAAACAGGAUUAGAUACCCUGGUAGUC